AGCUUUAUAGUCAAUAAAUGAUAUUAGACUGCAAUUCUAAAGGAGUAAAAAUUACUAAGGCUU
rnacentral:tRNA from 1 species